rfam:Clostridium sp. CAG:793 genomic scaffold, scf49
UUAUUUAAGUAAGCGCCAGGACAUUUUUUUAAUGUUGACGAGGAUAGAACUUAUCGAAAUUUUCGGCGGAUGGUUCUAGGGAAUGCUACUUCCUAAAAUAUUGUCAAAAAAUAAUAGCGAUAUUAUAACAAAUCAAUAUUACUAGCUGUG